rnacentral:rRNA from 1 species
AAGUGGGAAACGAUGUGGGAAGGCCCAGACAGCCAGGAUGUUGGCUUAGAAGCAGCCAUCAUUUAAAGAAAGCGUAAUAGCUCACUGGUCGAGUCGGCCUGCGCGGAAGAUGUAACGGGGCUAAACCAUGCACCGAAGCUGCGGCAGCGACGCUGAUGCGUUGUUGGGUAGGGGAGCGUUCUGUAAGCCUGUGAAGGUGGCCUGUGAGGGUUGCUGGAGGUAUCAGAAGUGCGAAUGCUGACAUAAGUAACGAUAAAGCGGGUGAAAAGCCCGCUCGCCGGAAGACCAAGGGUUCCUGUCCAACGUUAAUCGGGGCAGGGUGAGUCGACCCCUAAGGCGAGGCCGAAAGGCGUAGUCGAUGGGAAACGGGUUAAUAUUCCCGUACUUGGUGUUACUGCGAAGGGGGGACGGAGAAGGCUAUGUUGGCCGGGCGACGGUUGUCCCGGUUUAAGCGUGUAGGUGUGUGUUCCAGGUAAAUCCGGUUCACUUUAACACUGAG